UCUGCCAAAACCAAUAAAUGAUACCCCUCAUAUUUCACCUCCUUUUCCGCCUCCAUUUUCACUUGAAUCAAAUCUACAAACUGCAAUCUUUCUUUUCCACCAAAACAUAAAAUUCCCUCCACCUCUCUUUUUGCUUGAAUCUUAUCUCUUUUUGCUUGAAUUUUGCUUGAAAUAAAAUCCACAAACUGCAAAAAUCAGAAAUCUCAAGCUAUAGGGGGUGUCAGAUUGCAAGAAUGAAAGGCAGCUUGAAUUGGAUUUUGGGUUGUUUUAGAUUAUUACUUUCAGCUAUAACUACCGUUCAUUUUAGGUUAGAUGUAUAGAAUUGGAUUUGUUGUAUCAAAUGAUACAAUUUUGUAGUGACAUACAAAGUGUUAAUAGCCUUUUGCUAUUGUAAGUACAAGUGAGCCUGUGGUUGUAAAUUGUAAUGAGAGAAAAUUGUAUCUUAUACAACUCAUCGUAUGGUUGACAUGAUUUCUUA